UUUCGCCUACGGGAGGCAGCAGUGGGGAAUAUUGCACAAUGGGCGAAAGCCUGAUGCAGCAACGCCGCGUGAGCGAUGAAGGCCUUCGGGUCGUAAAGCUCUGUCCUCAAGGAAGAUAAUGACGGUACUUGAGGAGGAAGCCCCGGCUAACUACGUGCCAGCAGCCGCAGUAAUACGUAGGGGGCUAGCGUUAUCCGGAAUUACUGGGCGUAAAGGGUGCGUAGGUGGUUUCUUAAGUCAGAGGUGAAAGGCUACGGUCCAACCGUAGUAAGCCUUUGCAACUGGGGAACUUGAGUGCAGGAGAG
rnacentral:rRNA from 1 species